UUCAGUCUGCAUCCGACCGCCGCGAGUGUCGCGUCGUGAAGCUGUGGUCGAACUUCGGGGGGGACACGAGACUCCAAUACGAGUCAGAGUCUAUACGAGUGCUCAUAGUACAACAUCGCGAUCCCGUAUCCUAUAUCUAAAUCGUAUACCUAUCGGUUAUACGUCGUAUUCGCUUCUCAACCCUUGAGUCGUGAGCCGUAAUACGAGAGAGAAAAGAACUGGUGAAAAAUCGUAGUCGCGUGUAUUGGUGUUAUAUAGAGAGGGAGAGAAAGAGAGAGCGGGUCACUGAACGACCGUACGAAGGUAGAAAGAGGGAGAACGAGAAAAUAAAAGAGGGACGGAGAGGGAUUUUCGUCGCGACGUAUACAUACGUAUAUACACGUGCGAAACCGAGGAGAGACGUGAAACACGCGCGUGCGCACCCGCGUAUCACACAUAUACACAUAUAUACGAAAAAGAGGGAGAGAGAGAAAUAACGACGACACGGCGCAGGAAGAGGUAAGAGAACCAGUGACACCGGGAGGGUCGGGUGUUCCUCGUGCAAAACCGCCACCGGAAUAUAUGUCGUGAGUGUGCGGCCGAAGAUCCGCGGAUAGAGACCGGCCGAUAGUGCGUUCCGGGGUUUAAGAAGGGAAAAAAAGGCGAAGACUCUCUCGGUUGAAAAGCAAUGCGGGUUCAUUGACUGCGUGCCGCGCAAUGGCCGCAUGUUCGUGGCCGAUGCACAGUGCAUGUGUGACAGGAGCUACGAGGAGGACGACGCCGAGGACGACGAGGCCGAAGAUACCGGCUACUACCAAUAUCAAACUCGAGACCUACUGAAAGUUCUUCUUCUCCUUCUUCGGGUCCCUACAUGAUCGAGAAACUCAUCUCGAUCACAGGCAGCGAUAACAGAGAGGAGCACUGGAAUUUUUCGUGCUUUUUACACAGUCGCAGCCGAUCUCCGCAGAACUCUUCCACGGAACGCUGCACCUGCAAGGAUACUGCUAAUUUACCAGGACUCGUCAACAAACGCAAAACUUCGCUACGUUUUCGCUCGAAAUUUCACGAACUUUCAUAGUUAAUCUUUUAAUCUCCGAUUCCGACGACUCUACCAAAGACACAAAGAAUUCUGACGAGAACUUGAACGAUCUCAUUUAAAUUAUCUUUGAGAAAAGAUCACAAAUAACACGCUGAUUCACUCGGAACCAGUGCACCGUGCACCGUACAUCAGUUUUAUAUCGAUCGGUUCGUUCGCUUCUAAAUUUUAUUCGGACUUAAUGCUCGCGACUAGGUGUUUGGACAGAAAAUCGGCACGGAGUCGCGGGAAUAGCUGGCGAAAAUGUUCGUUUGCUGACGAGAGACAACAGCAGGGAACUGAUCGCGGUGGAAAAUCGUCGUUAGAGAUCGCGUUGAACGUGUCGAGGUGGCGGGACUUAGGUGAGGAUAUUCCGUCGCGUUUGACGUCGUUGUCGUCGUCGUGGUGCGUUGUUCAGCCUGUGGUUCGGCAGUGAGAGAAAGAUAAGAGAGAGAGGCGGGCAGCUAUAACCGACAACCACACGGUGGACAUGAUUAUUUCAAAGGAUCUGUUCCUCUUUGGCGACCAAGAUUACCUGCGCCUUCCCAGCAACGAGAAGCGCCAGCAACGGGCAAUGGGCCGACCGAUCAUCAAUGCUCCCAGAGUGGAAAGCUCAGCGUUGCAGUUGGUGUACCCGCUGGAUUCUCGUCCGGUGCAGCUAAUCUUCCGGGGGUUGCAGGUGGUCAAGGAGAAACGAGCCCUCCUCCGAGAUGUCUCGGGCGUUGUUAAACCUGGCGAACUUUUGGCCGUCAUGGGCCCCUCAGGUUGCGGCAAAACGACGUUAUUGAACUGCCUGUCAGGCCGUGUAGGCGUGGACGGGGGUGAAAUCUGGCUGAAUCGUGAAAGGCUGACGAAAAGAUGGCGCAGAAGAAUCUGUUACGUGCAACAGCAGGACGUUUUCUUUCCCGAUCUCACAUUACGACAGACUCUCGAGUACCAGGCGAGGCUCAGGCUUCCGGACACGUUCUCGCACUCCCAGAAGAUGCAGUGCGUGGAUCAUAUCAUCGAGGUCCUCGACCUCGCCGCCUGCCAAGACACCAUUAUCGGGGAUUAUACGAAACGAGGACUGUCCGGCGGCGAGAAGAAGAGGACGAGCAUAGCCUGCGAACUUCUCACCAAUCCCUCGCUCAUGUUGCUCGACGAACCAACGAGCGGACUGGACUCGCAUUCGGCACAAGGACUGAUUUCACGAUUGAAGAAAUACGCUGAACAAGAAGGCAAGAGCAUCGUGGUAACAGUGCAUCAGCCCAGUUCCAGGAUGUUCCACAGUUUCAGCAAGAUCCUGCUGUUGAGUCAUGGCCAGGUGGCAUAUUAUGGCCCUACAACGAAUAUUGGCAGGUUCUUCUCUACGAUUGGACUCACGCUACUGCCACACUAUAACCCUGCCGAUUUUAUACUGGAGCAAAUAAAGGGGCCAGAAGAGGUUCGCGAGCGCAUCGUGGCCGCGGCGAGGAACACGAGACAGGGACCUGACUGCCCGCCAGAACUUCGUCCGGAGUACAAUCCAAGCCAGCAUCCGCUUUGCGACCAUCUGAUCCAUUAUCACGAACACCACAUCAGCCACAACGUGAAAGAAGACGAAGGUCGUACGCUGUGGUUGGACACACAAAGCCAUGCCAGCAGCAGUGCCAGUUCUGCGGACGACGACUAUGCCUGGCAGUGGCCCACCAGUUUCUGGUCGCAAUUUAAAGUAUUAUCAGAAAGAAACUUUCAAGAGGCACGGCCACGAAUGCUGUCUCGUCUGAAUUGGCUGCAAACGAUAGCUCUCGGCUUACUCGCUGGACUGUUGUGGCUAGGGCUUCCCAGAACAGAAGCGGCACUUCAUGAUAUCCAAGGCUGGAUGUUCUUCAGCACCACGUACUGGAUGCUCUUCGCGCACUUUGGUGCACUCUCCAGUUUUCCUCCAGAACGCGAGGUGAUCAACAAGGAGCGACUGUCAGGAUCGUAUCGGCUCUCGGCCUAUUACUUGGCGAAGAUGGUCGGCGAGCUGCCGCUUACGAUUACGUUGCCCGCGGUCUACCAUAUCAUUAGUUACCCGAUGUUGGGCUUCCACAAUCCGGCAGUUUUCGUCACCCUGCUGGCGUUCCUCUUACUCAACACCGUCGUCGCGCAGAGCGUGGGAUUCUUCGUUGGUGCAUGUUGUCUGGACCUCCAAGUUAGUAUAACUGCGUCCGCGCUUUACACGCUCGCCACACAAUUGCUUGGCGGUUAUUUGGCGACGGCGGUUCCGCCAUGGCUGGCAUGGGCCAGAUACGCGAGCAUGGUGCACUAUGCCUAUCAAAACAUGCAGAUUCUGGAAUUCGGCGUCGGUGAGCCGAUCACAUGCUCGCAGCCGAGCAAGUUCCAAGAGUGCAGGAACUCGACGACUAUACCGGUGUCUGCGAUUCUAGAAAGCCAGGGCGGCGCCAGGGGUUCCGGUCUUCCACUAUGGGCGAACACGGCCGUCCUCCUGGCGUUCCUAGUGAUAUUCCGCACCCUGGGCUACCUGGUGUUGCGCUACUAUCGCGUGCCCAAGUGAAACGGCGUACGAUGAGAAGAACCGCCUUUCUACUGCCGCCUUAUCCACGAAAUGUUGGAUCAUGGCCGCGAUCGACGGACGUCGGGACGGCCUCGCUACGCUAACGGGAACGUCAUCAUCGUCGUCGUCGUCAACAUCGUCGUCGAGCUUCCCUUUGACCCUUCGUUUCGCCCACGGGCAGCGACAAAGUAGCUCGCGAAACCGAACGGAACAACCCGAACAGAAACCGCGCGCGAAAGUUUAUUUUUCCAGGAUGCCACUGGUCGUCUCGAGACGGCGCAGGGCUUGGAGGUGGUGGUGAAAAGAUAAUCCUCGAACUGGCACGGGUACGUUUUACACCCUCGUAAUCAUUUUCCUACAGAAUUAGGUUCGUCGAAUCGAACGAAUCAAGCGGUUCGAAAGAAGCUGAAUCGAAUAAAAGAGAUCGAGUCGAACUGCAUAGUAGGACGGUUGAGAUUGCAGCGGGGAGAACGCGAUCGGAAAGAGGAAUUUUUAGAUUUUUUUCCUCUGGCAGAAACGUUGUGUCGUACACCUGUUCCGUGUAUUAUAUUUUGAGGAGUAGAAUGAAUCUUCAAAGGGGAGAGACUCGAGGGGAGACAAUUAGUUGAAGAAACUUUCUAGAAAGCGGAAUAGCUUGCCGAUUUUUCUGGGAUUUUUCUCUUUUCAACGCCGCCUACCAAUCUAUUGAUACCGCUAUUUUAAUUACCGAGCGAUUAGCUACUAUUUUUAUUAAUUGUACACGCAUCUCGCAGAAUAGAAUACCUCAGACAGACAGGGAAAACCAGCGACCUAAGCGAAACGAGGGGUUAACAAAGAAAAGAAAAAAAAAAAGAAACCAAGAUAAUAGGGGUUGAUAGAGAGCGGAGAAAUAUAGGGGGUUUCCGCUCGUUCCCGCUAGCGGCGGGCGAUGAGAUAGAACGCGCGAAAACGCGUGAUCAAGAGACUUGGCGAAGACUAUACAUAAGAUUGUACACGUAGAGACUUUAUAUAUAUAUACAUAUAUAUAUAUAUAUAUAUAAUAGAUAGAUAGAUAUACAUACAUAUAUCACGCUAUCACGUGAAGUAAGAGGAAUACAAGAGAGGGUGGAUGAACACGAGAAAGAAUGCGGAGGAAACUCUUCUGUUUUAAUUUCUUGCGGAAACAAGGGUAUAAUGAUAGAGGAAAGAAUGUCUGUAUCUGUGUGUUUACGUAUAAAAAUGCGAAAGUAUGUAAGAGUGAACGAGAACGAGCGUGAGUGAGAAAGUGUGAGAGCCAUUUCUUUUUACUUUUUCUUUUUUUCUUUCUUUUUUUUCUUUCUUUCUUUAAUAUCUUUUGAAAGAAUCGAUGCGACGUCGUGGCGUCGCGGUACCGACUGAAAGAAAGGAAUCACAAAACAAACAAACAAACAAACACACACACACACACAUGACAUUUGUACGACGAAGCAUAUUUCUUAAGCUCAUAGGAGAGGGAGAUGAGAAGAAAUAGGCAAAGCGGAAACUCGCGGAGAUAAUGAAACUUCACGCCACGUCGAGAAUCACCCUACACGAAGAAAAAAGAAACGCUUAGGUUUAAGAGACGUGUAAAUGGAGAAAAAGGAGGAGAAGAAGAAGAAAAAAAGAGGAAGAUAAGAAAACGGAGAGGAACUUUUUAAAUCGUUCUUAGCGACUAUCCACGUUUUACUUUCUACAUUUUUAUUACCGCUGAACAAUCUAUCGCUGCUAAGACGAUAUUCACCCCUACCUAGCUGAUAAGAUGGACAAGCUGCUGCUAAUUCUAUGGAUUAUGAUAAAGCUACAUCUCUACCACUUAGUACUUUUUAUUAUCGGACGCUGUAAGUUGCGUUAAGGGAUAUAUCGAGCGAAAAACGACCGUUCAUAUACAUAUAUACAUAUAUAUACAUAUGUAUAUAUAUAUAUAUAUAUAUAUAUGAAGGGUUUCUCGAUUUAUUUAACCUGUAAAUAAAGUUAGGUUUAAUCCAAUCGAUGAGUUGUACGGUAUAUUAUACAGUCGAUUUUGUAUGAAAUUAAGAACUUUUAUGAAUGUAAAGAAAUGUAAAAGUUAUAAAAGAUACUUUCCUUCGGUUAUUAUUGAAACACUGCUUAUUUAAUGUUAUUUCGUUUUAAUCACUUUUGUAAUACCACAUUCGAAAAAAUCGAAUCUGACGAAGUUGAAAUUGAAUGUUCGAUUCGACGACCAAAGGGCGAGCCGAGUAAUGCGAAACGCUCGCACGUGUCCCAAAAGAAACUUAUAGCGAACUUGGCCCUUGAAUGUUACCGAUGUUCUUCGAGCACAGUGAAUUCACAAGCGAAAACUGUGCGGCUUCGAACUCUGAAACGUUCGUACGCUUUCUUGAAUUUGAAAUUACGAUAAAGUAGACGCAAAUUGAUCAUGAUAUAAAUCUCGUACAAAUUCAAGGACGCGAACGGCCUUCUGCUCAAAGCAAGUGUUACCAUUCUGCCGAGCACAAUUUGAUCUUGUAUAAAUAAUUAUUAAUAAAAUUAAGAAGAUGCCAAUAAAUUACUGUAUAGUUACAAAAAUAAGUAAUUGUAUAGCUACUCUUAAUUUACUUAUCGUCUGUAUAUUUCGAACGAUCGUUGUCAAUUCGUCUCUUCGGAUCCAAUAUGGCGGACCAACUAUGGCAGUCGUUCUAAUAAAAGGAAGAAAAAAAAGUCAAGCGAAAAAAGCGUUUCGAUAGUGAAAUUUUAUGAAGGAUUUGUUAAAGAUAGUGUGUCUGUAUUUUCAAAGCUAUUCGUUGGUUAUUGCAUAAUAAUCUACAAGCUCAGAUUGUGCGCGGCCAUCAUAACAUUUAUUAGUGACUAAAAAACGCGCUGUUGCAUACUCGAAAUGUUCGCUUCGUAAUUUAUUGUAACCGUUAAAGAAGGGGAGAAAACGAAAAAAAGAUAGCGAGAGAUUGUCGAAAAAGCUGUUUAUCGAGAGAGAGAAAAAAGAAAAAGAUUUAUUAUAACGUAGUUCUUCCUCGAACUGAUGUUGAGAAAUGUGAAAAAAAUAAAAGAAUUAAAUUAUCGACAUCGUGUGCCGGAUCAAAAAAAUAUGGACGGGGAUGUAAAUAGAUGGCGUCGCUGGCUGUGCUGUGCAAAUUGUUGAAUAGCGAUGUGAUACACACACAUAUAUAUAUACAUAUAUAUGUAUAAAUACAUGAUACAUAUGUAUACAUAUAUAUUUACAUAUACACUAAUUUGCGGACGCGGUAUUACCUCCAAAAAAAAAAAAGAUUGUAGAACUGCAAAAGCUGCUAUUGCAACAGAAACAUAAUUCGAUGGCAGAUCCACGUUAUCGGACGCCAUUGAUUCAAGUAAAGAACGAAUAAACGAUUGAACGACUCUUCGGCGUUUUAACUUUGCGAUAGGAUCAAUGUGAAACAACAUUCGAAACGUGUGCUUGUAUCGAUAUUACGUUAUCGGAUAAUGGAUCGAACUAUCGAUGUUGCUCUUACACUCGAAGCCAACUUCAAUCGAAAACAGAUGAGUGUAACGAACACAAUGGCGACUUUUGCAAUGACACAUGUUCAUACCGUAUACAUGCAAGCCAUGGUCGUGCGAACUGUAUUCGAUCAAAUACGACAUAUUCAUCGUCUUCGUUCUUGUGCUCUUCGUUCACGUCGUGUUCGUUUCAUUUUCAUGCACUGUCAGCCAUGCGAGGGAACGCUUGGGGACAUUUGACAUUUGAUUCGCAAUUUAUAGCCACCAUGGAAAAUACGAGAAAAGAAAAGGUGCAUAAAAGGACACGUGAACUGAGUGGCGCAAUUCUUCGAUAAAUUCGCUUUUGAAUAAAGUAGAUAGCACCAUAGAUCUAAGAAGUGUUAACCGCAGAUGCCGUGUUGAGAAAAUGAGCCUCGUUGUAAAAGAAAUAGGGAUGAGUAACGGGAUUUCUCUUUCCUUCCCUAUCUAUUAAAAAGAAAUAUCUGUUAGAAAGAGAAAGGGAGGCAACGUUAAAUAUCUUUAUCUCUCUUUCAACGAGGACCGCACUCUUCAUAAGACACCCACGGUCUAUACUUCUUACAUAUGUCCAUGGAUAGGAUACGUGUAAGUGAAACCACGUUCCAAUUCGAGCGGAGACCACGCAUUUCGAUUUCGAUAUAUCGUCUCGAUUCAACAAAUCGGACGCUGUCCCCCCGUGUUCACGUCGAAAUAGCGCGUCGCGAAUCGCGCUGGAAUUGGAACGAAUAAUCGGAAACGAUCUUUGUGGCGGAGCGUGUGAUUGUUGAAGCGGUUCGAGCCUCGAGAUAUUCGAGAAUCGAACUCGCCUUUAAUCGGUCAACGUCGAGUCGAGGAGAACGGUUCAUUAGUCUCAAUUACUAGUUGGAAUGUCUCUCGUGGUAAAACAAGAGAGGCGCGCUAAGCUUGAGCUCGUAUGUAUAGUCGCAAACAAUCGACUUUCGAUCUAUCGCUGUAAUCACUGCCAUGUCGGCGACGCAGAGUCAGUAAACGAUGGCGAUUUUGUGUAGAGAUACAUACUUCGUUGAUUUGAACCCACGAAGCGAUGCGCGUUUACGAUAUUGUAUUUUAUUGUUAUUUUUCUGCUUCGCGAUGCAUUUACUUUUAUUCCGAAUUAAAAUAUGAAACACUUGCGAAUUUUUCUAGCAAUAAUUCCUUUUUUUCUCUUAAAUUAUUCACUUAUUUAAAUAAAGUUACUACCACCCAAUUCACCCAGUACUUUAUUCAUUGAGUAUUAACAUGCUAUAAUAAAGUGCGAUUAAAUAUUCAAAUGAAAUUAUCGUAUUAUUUUAUGGACCGCAUCGUGUGUGGCUUCAGCAACAGAGUGGCGUUUCUUAUUAACUGUGUCUCGCAAACAUUCUAUCGCCGGAACAACAUUGUGUGUCCAGUUUGUUAAGAGACUUAAGUCUCUUUUCAAUAAGUCUCACUCCUCAAGAAACUUCCGAUUGAGCCUUCGAAGUUACUCCAUAUGAGCUACUUCUUAGGAAUACCAUUAUGGACGUUGUAUCGUGAACGGAGCUCCAAUGCUGGUAUUAGAGAGUUGCUGGCAACUUACGAUUAAAGAUGUGACCAAAUAGACGAUAUUCCCUUUCGAUUACGUCUUUUGAUUCGCGAAUUAUAGUGGAGAUUGAGAGGUACCAGUGGAGCGCUGUCCACGAAACUGGUUCAUUUGUUUCUUGUCUGUAGCAUCACCAAUUCAUAUAAUGUGUCAACCUCGAGCGAUUCUGGAGCAGCGAUUUUCAACAUUUUCAUCUCAUAGAACACAUAAAUUGAUUAUUAAAAUUCUGCAGCAUGACAGAAAAUAUAUUAUGUUUUAGCUGUUGUCAUUCUUUUAUUUGACAAUCUAAGAAAAAAGAGGCCAAUGCUCCUAAUUAAAUAAUUAGAUAUUGCAUCUUUCAAAAAUUUUUACGGCACAUGGUUGAAAAUCGCUGUUGUAGAUCCUAGAGCAUAAGAAGUGCUUGGAGAUUUUGGUCACUCGAUGUUCACAAGCGGAACUCGGUCACUGCUGCGCAAUACGCAUGCGCAGUCGUCGAUGGCGGGCAACAACAUCGGUUCGAUGCGAUGGGUCGAAUCUAACCUUUCGAUCUUCUCUGGUUUCGUUUAAUUUCUUACGAUAUCAUAUAAUUAUUAAACGAUAAUGAUUCUUAUAUAAGAGCUACUACGCAUAAGGGUGUUAUAUGUUACGUUUCUCGAAUUUUGUAUGGGCCAUACGAAACUUUGUUCCUUAGAACAUUGUUGAGUGAAAAAGAUAUCUUUCGCACUGCAUUCCUAAUGCACAUUGCGUGCUGGAAUUUGGUGCAUUUAUCAUAAUUGUGCAGGCAUUAUUACGAUUGUGUUAUAAAAUAACAAACAGGAAAAUGAAAGUGGAAGAAAUAAAAAGAGGCGCAUGUGCAUUUAUAAAAGCGAAAGAAAUUCAGGGAGAGGUAUGAGAUAACACGCGUGAUUGUACAUGUGUGUAUGAAAGAGGAAGAGAAAGCAUUUGCAAACGAUCAUGUUUAUUCUUCACCAACUGUACGCAAUAUGAAAUUGAGUAUACAAAGCAGAGCAGCGAGAACCAUUUGUCCUAGUCCUAGUAUUCAAACUCAUCACCAUAAUUUAUAACCGAUUUCAAUUUAAAUCUAAUAAAAUGAUGUUAUAAUACCAAA